UAGGAAAUAUAUUCAUAUAAGAGGGUUCUGAGCUUUUACAAAAAUUUAUAAUACGUCUUUGUCUGUUUAGCAGGAAUUAGAAAACAAUUCUGCUGUGCUGCCUGUUACUUGAAAAUAACUAGUCGACUCAUGGAUCACUUGAUAAAAUGAAGGAUGAGCAAUUGGUUUAUCCAAAUUUUAGCAAGAACAAAGUUUCAUUCUCACAUUACUUUUGGUAUAUAAUGUUGUUUAUUUUGUAAACCUGUAAAGCACAUUUGAUGAGUCAUGAGUGGGAGUUUUGAGAUAUAAUCUCUUUAAACUUCUUAUACAUUUUUAUGGUGUAAUGUUGAUGUUGCAGUAUGCAAA
rnacentral:misc_RNA from 1 species